GCUCGUAAGCAUAUACACAAAAAAACAAACGCCAAUAAAAACACGAAAAAGAAAGAUUCAGAUUUCCCCCCUUGGAUCUGCAUUUUUGGGGGAGAGAUUGCUAUCUUUCUUGACAAAAAGGAGUGUGGUGGU
rnacentral:sRNA from 14 species